ncrna:Pinus taeda miR946a stem-loop (pta-MIR946a)
CAGAGUGUAUGGAUGUGGAUAGAGAAGGGUUAGUAAACGGUAGAAAACCCAUUUAUUGUAUGUCAUUGGCUGUUCGAGAUUAAGCAGCUGUAAUUCGAUGGCCAUACUCAUUAAAUGGGUUGGCUGUUUGCUCUGUACCAGCCCUUCUCCUAUCCACAAUUGUACUAGUUUG